CAGUGGGAUGCAACCUCUAAUUCAAGUGGCAAAAAAAAAAGAAAUGCAUAACUGGCAAUGUAACUUGCAUUCAUUUCUAAAGUGCACAAAUAUAGCCACUUUCAAAAAUAGAAUUCCUGAAUUCAAAAUUCUGCCAGUCCUUCGCUUGUGUGCGCAGUGUUGCCAUGGUCUUCUGUAAAUGGAAAACAUCAGCCCACAGAAACCUCAUGAGGAGUUUAUUGAAGAGGAAGCAGAAAGGCGGAAGCUAACGCCGAAGUCCACGAGCUACAUGUUCGAUGCUAAGCUAGCUUUCACUGCCGCCGCGUGGCAUGUCACGAUGAAAACGGAGCGCGCUGCUUUGAAAUUGGGGAUGUCGUCGCUGGUGCCGGAUGAAAAAGCACACUCGACAUCUGUCAAUGCCCAAAGCAAAAAAAAAAAAAAAAAAAAAAAAAGGGUUUCUGAAGCCGCUGGUCCGGAGCUGCAAAACCAAACAUGGCCAUUGUUUGUCAUUUGAGAGGCACAGAAACCAACAGUAUUUGAGCAUCUGGAGGGACUGCAGCGUGCUGACAAUGUCCACUGGGUUCACCGCCGUCUCCUGGCUGAUCUCUAACAGUCCAAAGAGGAAAGAUUCAAGGUCAGCGGAAAGAUUCAAGAUCUUGGAGAGAAGACUGCAAUUGGACGACGCAGUGUCCAGUGCAGGAGGCGACACGGUCGAGAAGCCCCAGUCAACGAAGCUAAUAAUUCACUGGCACCCCGCAUAAGGAUGCACUUCACACCGCUGAGACCAAGCAGAGGAAUCCUACAGUCAAGACUGAUGUGAGUGCGCAUGUGGUGCAGAGCUCUGAGACCUUGGCCAGCAAAUGAAAGAACACACUGUGGUCCUUGUUCUCGCCGACCUCUCCAGUCACAUUGGACUCACCCAUUAAAAAAGCUUUUUUUUUUUUUUGGGGCGGGGGGUUUUGGCACUAGAAACCUGCAGUGCUAAAAGACACAGUAUAUCAAACUCAUUUUACUGAGAAGAAGCCAGGGGUGACACUUUCCAUUACUAUUCCAAACAGGUUUCUUAAAAAGUUGUAUAUACACAUCCAAUGGCGGGGUUAAUCUUUCAUUUUAUAUUUAAUACAGAGCACGGAUUCCAUUGGAGGCGAUUAAUGGUGUCCAAUCAGACUUGUCUCAAAACCAACACAGUGCUGUCUUUCAGUCAUUUCCUCUCCAAUGAGGAGAAGGACUGGACUGGCCCGCCAAUAGCGAAAAUCAUGCAUAUAAUUGCAUUGAAAUGCAUGUGGGGAUUGGCGGGAUUUUUUUAAACCACAAAUUUCUUCAAAAACCCAUUGCAUUUCCCAUGAACCCCCCCCGCACCCUCAAGUAAA